rnacentral:rRNA from 1 species
CCUACGGGAGGCAGCAGUGAGGAAUAUUGGUCAAUGGACGAGAGUCUGAACCAGCCAAGUAGCGUGAAGGAUGACUGCCCUAUGGGUUGUAAACUUCUUUUAUAUGGGAAUAAAAUGUUCCACGUGUGGGAUUUUGUAUGUACCAUAUGAAUAAGGAUCGGCUAACUCCGUGCCAGCAGCCGCGGUAAUACGGAGGAUCCGAGCGUUAUCCGGAUUUAUUGGGUUUAAAGGGAGCGUAGGUGGAUUGUUAAGUCAGUUGUGAAAGUUUGUGGCUCAACCGUAAAAUUGCAGUUGAAACUGGCAGUCUUGAGUACAGUAGAGGUAGGCGGAAUGCGUGGUGUAGCGGUGAAAUGCUUAGAUAUCACGAAGAACUCCGAUUGCGAAGGCAGUUCACUGGACUGCAACUGACACUGAGGCACGAAAGUGUGGGUAUCAAACAGGAUUAGAUACCCCAGUAGUC